CCUACGGGUGGCAGCAGUGGGGAAUAUUGCACAAUGGGGGGAACCCUGAUGCAGCGACGCCGCGUGAGUGAAGAAGUAUUUCGGUAUGUAAAGCUCUGUCAGCAGGGGAGAAGAAAGACGGUACCUGACCAAUAAGCCCCGGCUAACUACGUGCCAGCAGCCGCGGUAAUACGGAGGGGGCAAGCUUUAUCCGGAUUUACUGGGUGUAAAGGGAGCGUAGACGGCAGGGCAAGUCUGAAGUGAAAGGCAGGGGCCCAACCCCUGGACUGCUAGUGAAACUGUCCGGAGGGAGUGCAGGAGAGGUAGGUGGAAUUCCUAGUGUAGCGGUGAAAUGCGGAGAUAUUAGGAGGAACACCAGUGGAGAAGGCAGCUUACUGGACGGUAACUGACGUGGAGGCUCGAAAGCGUGGGGAGCAAACAGGAUUAGAGACCCGAGUAGUC
rnacentral:rRNA from 1 species